CGGUACGGGUGCGGAACACGUGUGCAACCUGCCUUUAUCUGGGGGAUAGCCUUUCGAAAGGAAGAUUAAUACUCCAUAAUAUAUUGAACGGCAUCGUUUAAUAUUGAAAGCUCCGGCGGAUAGAGAUGGGCACGCGCAAGAUUAGCUAGUUGGUGAGGUAACGGCUCACCAAGGCGAUGAUCUUUAGGGGGCCUGAGAGGGUGAUCCCCCACACUGGUACUGAGACACGGACCAG
rnacentral:rRNA from 2 species